AAGUCGUAACAAGGUUUCCGUAGGUGAACCUGCGGAAGGAUCAUUACUGAAUUGCCAACAUGAGUUGUUGCUGGUCCUCAAACGGGGGCAUGUGCACGCUCUGUUUGCACAUCCACUCACACCUGUGCACCCACUGUAGUUCUGUGGCCUGGGGGACUCUGUCCUCCGGCUGUGGUUCUACACCUUUACACACACACUGUAAUAAAGUCCUAUGGAAUGUAUGCCGCGUUUAACGCAAUACAAUACAACUUUCAGCAACGGAUCUCUUGGCUCUCGCAUCGAUGAAGAACGCAGCGAAAUGCGAUAAGUAAUGUGAAUUGCAGAAUUCAGUGAAUCAUCGAAUCUUUGAACGCACCUUGCGCCCUUUGGCUAUUCCGAAGGGCAUGCCUGUUUGAGUAUCAUGAACACCUCAACUCCUCAUGGUUUGCCAUGAUGAGCUUGGACUCUGGGGGUCUUGCUGGCCUGUGGUCGGCUCCUCUCAAAUGAAUCAGCUUGCCAGUGUUUGGUGGCAUCACGGGUGUGAUAACUAUCUACGCUCGUGGUUUUCUGCCAGAUAACCUUCAGCAGUGGGGGUUCACUGGAGCUCACAAACGUCUCUCCUCGGUGAGGGACAGCUCU
rnacentral:rRNA from 1 species